UUCUUCAAUCAUGAGUUGAACAAUACGCCGAUUAGCUUAGUACGGGGUAUGCACGUAUUUGGAAGAAACAAAGAAAUAAUUUCCAGUUGAGCGGCGGCAGCCUGACGAAGAAGAGGAAAUAAUGCCGCUGCGUCACCGCCGCCGCCUCUUCUUCCUCGCACGAGAAACACCGUCUUGUCCAGGGCAAGGAAGACGUGCUGCGUCUUCGUGGGCGGCGGCCGUAGCUGAGCACGCCCGCUCUGGCCGCCACGCCGCCGCACUCACCGUCUUCCGGCGCGUCCUCGCCGCUCACCCUGACGCCGCCGUCGCCGACGUGAUCGCCUACUCAGCGCUUCUCCGCUGUCGCGACGCUGGAUUGGCCCACCAGAUCCACGCGCAGGCAUGCCGCCGCGGCUUUGCUUCCUCCAACCCCAUCCUCUCCUGCUCCCUGCUCGUCUUCUACUCCUCCGACCUCCCGGCUGCCACCAAGCUGUUCGACGAAAUGGCGCACAGGGAUGCCUUCUCCUACACCGCCAUGAUGUCGGCUCUCCUCCGCGCCGGGGACUGGGCGCAGGCUCUUGCACUCUACACUCGCAUGCUUGCUGCUGCUGUGCCUCCCACCCACCACACCUUUGCCACCCUGCUUGCUCUCUGCGCCUCCAGGCGCCUGUGUCGCCAUGGGAGGCAGCUCCACGCGCAGUUCCUCCGUUGGCAGGUCGACCUUAACCUGGUGCUCAAGACCGCACUCGUCCACAUGUACUCCAGGUGCGGCUUCAUGGACCAUGCGCACACCGUGCUCUGCUCCACGCCUGAGACAGACGUCGUGCUCUGGACGGCCAUGAUUUCCGGCUACUCGCAGGCUGGAGACCUCCAGACCGCUCUUCAGAUGUUUCGCUACAUGGAACAUGCCGCGAUGCUGCCCAAUGCCUUCACCUUCGCAGGGGUCAUCACCGCCUGCUCAUCCUCCGUCCAGCCCCUGGCGAUACAAACUGGUCGGCAGCUCCAUGCCCGCGUGUUCAAGUUCGCCCUGGAGCAUGACAUCUCUGUCUGCAAUGCGCUUGUGGACUUCUACAGCAAGUCCUCCACCUGUUUGCUCGACUUGCUGCACACGUUCAAUGCCGUCGACAGGCCGAAUGUGGUGUCCUGGACCGCCUUCAUUGCUGGACUUGCACGCCAUGGCAGAGACGAGGACGCGUUUGCAGCGUUCGCUGAGAUGCGGGCUGGUGGGGUGCAACCUAACUCAUUCACCAUCUCCACCCUUCUCAAAGGCUGCAGCUCCUCACAGUCUUUCCUACAUGCUACAAAAAUACAUGCUUAUGUGCUCAAGACCAGCUCUGAGUCUUUGAAUGUGGCUGUUGGGAACUCGCUGGUUAAUCUUUAUUCCCGGUUUGCAAGAAUGGACGACGCAUGGGCAGUUGCGACAACAAUGGCCUUUGUAAGGGACAGCUUCACAUACACAAGCCUAGCCAAGGGAUUGAAUCAGAUUGGCCUUCCAAACAAGGCUCUUGGGAUGAUAAUUCACAUGUUUCAUGAGAAGGUACAUAUCGACGGUUUCAGUCUUGCCUGCUUCCUUUCUGCUGCUGCGACCUUGGCAUCUGUAGAGCCUGGGAAGCAGUUGCACUGCUGCUCGGUAAAACUGGGAUUGAACAGUCAGCUCUCGGUUUCUAACAGCCUUAUCAAUAUGUACAGCCAAUGCAAGUGUUUGGAGGAUGCUACGUGUGUUUUCCAGUCAAUCAAGGAGCCAAGUGUUGUGUCAUGGAAUGCUCUAAUAUCAGGGCUGGCAUCCAACGGAUGUUAUUAUGAAGCACUGUCCGCUUUUGAAGACAUGGCAUUGGUUGGGGUUCAGCCUGAUGGCGUCACUUUCUCCAUUGUGCUUUAUGCCUGCAGCCAUGGUGGCUUUAUUGACAUUGGGAUCAGCCAUUUCAGCUCUAUGAAGACUUUGUUUGGUAUUUCCCCACAAAGGAGCCACUACACACUCUUUCUAGAUAUGUUAGGACGAGCAGGUCGUCUUGCAGAGGCGGCAUGCACAAUUGAUACCAUGCCUGUGCAGCCAGACUUGUCGAUGUACAGGAAUCUGUUAGCAUUUUGUGAGCUCCAUAACGAUCUGGUUGUCGGCGAAACCAUUGCAAGGAAGGCACUGGAAUUAUACCCAUCGGAUACUGUCUUUCAGAAUAUACUUUCAGGCAUAUAUGGUGCUCCUUGGAAAGAUGAAUUUAGUGCACGUACCCACAUGAUGCAGGGGGAUGCAGAUAUUCAAGCUAAGGCCUAACAAACACGAGCUAAAGAUCAGUUUCUGUGUACUGGUUCUUGGAUUCUUUCUAUAUCGCUCCCAAGAGCCACAAGGAUUAUUUCUUGGGCCAUUUCUUUCGACAUGUCCACAUGAGCAUGAGGAGAAAUAAUAGGACAAGCCGUGGUGAGCAAACCAACAUGAUGUGUAAAUUCAGAAUCACUGACGUUGACAGUUCGCUUAGGUGCUUCAGUGAUCCAUCACUCGUGGUGUUACCGGUAAUUGAUUAUCACCACAGGGU